CUUCAUGUAUUUAUUUAUUUCUUUCCUGGGCGGAGAAGAGAGUGGCUCCGCCGUCGCCAUUCUCCGCCUGUCACGGCUGUCACAGCUGGACGUCGUUUGUGAGUUGAUUAAAAAGAGAGGAGUCCGUAGCUAAUUAAAAAGCUCCUCUCUUUUAAUGCGGGAGUGUUAAGUAAAGGAGCGAGAGGGGAUAUAAACAGCCUCCUGACAGAUCAUUCAUUUGCACAAACUCCGGGGCUCCCCCGUCGUCUCGCCGACGAGUGUGUGAAGGAAAAGUGUUGAUUUGGGGAGGGGGAGGGGAGGAGGAGGAGGGGGAGUGGGAGUGGAGUGCCUGGGUCAAAGGUCACCGUUUGUGUGGAGUGGCUUUUCUUCGCUGUCCCUUUGUUGAUAGUGUGUCUGGCACGGGUGGCGUUGCCCUCACGUUUUCAUUGUGGUUAUUUUCCGCUUCUCGUAAGCCCUAUGACUUUCUAUCGCAUUGAGUCUUGUUGUUCCAGCAGCCCACAGAGAAGAUGUCUCGGGCUGGGCUGGAGGGAGGGGAGGCGGUGGUAGUGGUGGUGGAGACACUUUUUCCUGUCCUUACUUCCUCUACCAGGCUAGCAGGGGUAGCAGGUAAAGUAUUUAGCGUCAGCCCUGUGUUUAUUUUACUCGCUGCUCUCCCCCUGCGCUCUGCUGGUUAGAGCUCCCCCUUGAGGCGGUGGUGGUCGCGCGGAGUGGUUGGAAUAUACAGAGAGUUAUCACGAAGCCACUUCCCUAUGGGUUUCGCCGUCUGUCUAUCUGUCUGUCUUUUAGAGUCACAUGACGCAUGGGCAAAAAGAGGAGUGUUGCCUGGAGACCAAUCCGUCAUUCCAGCAUCCCUUUAUUGGAGGAGGGACCAAACAAUAUAGGUUGGCACAAUACUGUUCCAGAAUAUCUCCAGAAUAUUAUGUUUGCCUCUUGUAUCAGUAGGGUAGAAAGCAGUUAGCUAGCUAGCUGGGGACCCUUAAGGCUGUUGAACAGAGAAAGUCGUUGUAAAGUUCCUGAAAGAAGUGUGUUGGUAAUGGCAGCUUUGGGACAUUCGUAAGUGAACCCGGGAAACUCAAGCCUGGAGUCUAGACAACAAUAUCAAGUUGAAAAGAAAUGGGGGGAAACUUACUUAAGUUGUGAAAGUCUCUAUCUAGCUCUGUCUGUCUCUAUCUAGCUCUUCCUCUGUUUCUCUCUAUCCCUAUGUUUAGAUCCAACAGAAGCUUCGCUAAAAGAAAAAAAGAUAGCGGAGAGCGAUCAUUAGAAACCAGGGUGAUUAGGAGUGGGGCACCCAUAGUGGCUGGUACCUGGCUUUUCCCGAAAAGACUCCUCUGGCGCUGAUAGCAGUCAACCAAAGGUUUCACCGGGAGCCCGGUCGUUCCCACCGCCACAACCCAUGUGCCGUGUUGCUCUGAGCCAACCCACUUCUGCUCUCAGGUCUUCUGCAAGGCGUCCUUCAUCAAGGCUGCGAUGGCUCCGCGUGGUCUGAUGAUGAGAUCAGCGCGCAGGGCUGACAGACUGGGGGGUAUGGAGGUUCUCCAAGAGAGCCGCACACCAGGAGAGGCAGUCGACUAUAUCAUCAUAACCCUUCGGCAACGGCACAGUGAACAAACAUGUGGCGGGAUCCGGGAGAAGGCUUCGGGGCGAAAGAAACUUGUGGAGAAUACGAAAAUAUGAAAUCCUCGGUGGCAAUGGCGUCAGAUCCCACUGAAGCGCUCGAGGGACCGCGGUCGAAGCAAGACAAUAAUAACAGGCCGGCAAGAACAGCGAGGCCUCCGCUGAUGCGUGAAGACCUCGGAGAGCGAUGGGGGCAUCGUCACCUUGCCCAGAGACCCCCAGUACAAUCUUCCACUGCCCGGGCCGUGUUUACCACAACCGCUACCACCACCACCACCACCACUGCUGCCAAUGCACAGUUCAUAAAUAGAGCGGCACGUGAUAUACCAUGAGACCAGCUUGUUUUAUUAAAAUGGAAAUCAUAAUCACCACGCUUGCAUCCCCCUCUGCCCUUCACCCUGUCUUAAAGGCCAGGCUAAUGACCCGCACGCUGCUGAUAGCCAUACAAUUUAUCUGUAAUAUCUUUAGUUUAAUGUAAUCUGUGAAGGAACCUUGUUAUUAUCACUAGUUUGAUUAUUUUUUAAUAGUGUAGCCUGUAUGGUUAAUAAUGUUUUCCUGAACUGUCAAUAAUCGUAUUAUUGUUAUGCCGGUACAUUCCGCUGUUCAUUUCUACCACACAUAAUCAUGCAGGCUGUAUUUAUGUAUACCAUUUUUCUCUUAAAUAACUUUUAAAAUCA